GAUGAACGCUGGCGGCGUGCCUAAUACAUGCAAGUCGAGCGAAUGGAUUAAGAGCUUGCUCUUAUGAAGUUAGCGGCGGACGGGUGAGUAACACGUGGGUAACCUGCCCAUAAGACUGGGAUAACUCCGGGAAACCGGGGCUAAUACCGGAUAACAUUUUGAACCGCAUGGUUCGAAAUUGAAAGGCGGCUUCGGCUGUCACUUAUGGAUGGACCCGCGUCGCAUUAGCUAGUUGGUGAGGUAACGGCUCACCAAGGCAACGAUGCGUAGCCGAGCUGAGGGGGUGGUCGGGCACACUGGGACUGAGACACGGCCCAGACUCCAACGGGAGGCAGCAGUAGGGAAUCUUCCGCAAUGGACGAAAGUCUGACGGAGCAACGCCGCGUGAGUGAUGAAGGCUUUCGGGUCGUAAAACUCUGUUGUUAGGGAAGAACAAGUGCUAGUUGAAUAAGCUGGCACCUUGACGGUACCUAACCAGAAAGCCACGGCUAACUACGUGCCAGCAGCCGCCGUAA
rnacentral:rRNA from 1 species